AGUGGCGAACGGGUGAGUAAUACAUCGGAACAUGUCCUGUAGUGGGGGAUAGCCCGGCGAAAGCCGGAUUAAUACCGCAUACGAUCUGAGGAUGAAAGCGGGGGACCUUCGGGCCUCGCGCUAUAGGGUUGGCCGAUGGCUGAUUAGCUAGUUGGUGGGGUAAAGGCCUACCAAGGCGACGAUCAGUAGCUGGUCUGAGAGGACGACCAGCCACACUGGGACUGAGACACGGCCCAGACUCCUACGGGAGGCAGCAGUGGGGAAUUUUGGACAAUGGGCGAAAGCCUGAUCCAGCAAUGCCGCGUGUGUGAAGAAGGCCUUCGGGUUGUAAAGCACUUUUGUCCGGAAAGAAAUCCUUGGUUCUAAUAUAGCCGGGGGAUGACGGUACCGGAAGAAUAAGCACCGGCUAACUACGUGCCAGCAGCCGCGGUAAUACGUAGGGUGCAAGCGUUAAUCGGAAUUACUGGGCGUAAAGCGUGCGCAGGCGGUUUGCUAAGACCGAUGUGAAAUCCCCGGGCUCAACCUGGGAACUGCAUUGGUGACUGGCANGCUAGAGUAUGGCAGANGGGGGUAGAAUUCCACGUGUAGCAGUGAAAUGCGUANAGAUGUGGAGGAAUACCGAUGGCGAA
rnacentral:rRNA from 1 species